AGAGUUUGAUCAUGGCUCAGAUUGAACGCUGGCGGCAGGCCUAACACAUGCAAGUCGAACGGUAACAGGAAGCAGCUUGCUGCUUCGCUGACGAGUGGCGGACGGGUGAGUAAUGUCUGGGAAGCUGCCUGAUGGAGGGGGAUAACUACUGGAAACGGUAGCUAAUACCGCAUAAUGUCGCAAGACCAAAGAGGGGGACCUUCGGGCCUCUUGCCAUCGGAUGUGCCCAGAUGGGAUUAGCUUGUUGGUGGGGUAACGGCUCACCAAGGCGACGAUCCCUAGCUGGUCUGAGAGGAUGACCAGCCACACUGGAACUGAGACACGGUCCAGACUCCUACGGGAGGCAGCAGUGGGGAAUAUUGCACAAUGGGCGCAAGCCUGAUGCAGCCAUGCCGCGUGUAUGAAGAAGGCCUUCGGGUUGUAAAGUACUUUCAGCGGGGAGGAAGGGAGUAAAGUUAAUACCUUUGCUCAUUGACGUUACCCGCAGAAGAAGCACCGGCUAACUCCGUGCCAGCAGCCGCGGUAAUACGGAGGGUGCAAGCGUUAAUCGGAAUUACUGGGCGUAAAGCGCACGCAGGCGGUUUGUUAAGUCAGAUGUGAAAUCCCCGGGCUCAACCUGGGAACUGCAUCUGAUACUGGCAAGCUUGAGUCUCGUAGAGGGGGGUAGAAUUCCAGGUGUAGCGGUGAAAUGCGUAGAGAUCUGGAGGAAUACGGGUGGCGAAGGCGGCCCCCUGGACGAAGACUGACGCUCAGGUGCGAAAGCGUGGGGAGCAAACAGGAUUAGAUACCCUGGUAGUCCACGCCGUAAACUAUGUCGACUUGGAGGUUGUGCCCUUGAGGCGUGGCUUCCGGAGCUAACGCGUUAAGUCGACCGCCUGGGGAGUACGGCCGCAAGGUUAAAACUCAAAUGAAUUGACGGGGGCCCGCACAAGCGGUGGAGCAUGUGGUUUAAUUCGAUGCAACGCGAAGAACCCUACCUGGUCUUGACAUCCACGGAAGUUUUCAGAGAUGAGAAUGUGCCUUCGGGAACCGUGAGACAGGUGCUGCAUGGCUGUCGUCAGCUCGUGUUGUGAAAUGUUGGGUUAAGUCCCGCAACGAGCGCAACCCUUAUCCUUUGUUGCCAGCGGUCCGGCCGGGAACUCAAAGGAGACUGCCAGUGAUAAACUGGAGGAAGGUGGGGAUGACGUCAAGUCAUCAUGGCCCUUAUGACCAGGGCUACACACGUGCUACAAUGGCGCAUACAAAGAGAAGCGACCUCGCGAGAGCAAGCGGACCUCAUAAAGUGCGUCGUAGUCCGGAUUGGAGUCUGCAACUCGACUCCAUGUAGUCGGAAUCGCUAGUAAUCGUGGAUCAGAAUGCCACGGUGAAUACGUUCCCGGGCCUUGUACACACCGCCCGUCACACCAUGGGAGUGGGUUGCAAAAGAAGUAGGUAGCUUAACCUUCGGGAGGGCGCUUACCACUUUGUGAUUCAUGACUGGGGUGAAGUCGGAACAAGGUAACCGUAGGGGAACCUGCGGUUG
rnacentral:rRNA from 1 species